UUUCGCCAAAACCUCCUGUACGACGAGACACUGCACUUUAAUACCACAAGACCUGUCAUCGCAACCUUGUGUAUAAAACACACAAACACAACAUUUCAGGGGUUUGUUGUUGUUACACAAGUUAAGUAUUUCCUGAACAAAGCACGGAUAUAUACUGCACGCUGUGUAAACAUAUUGACUAUACAACACGUGACACAUAUUGAAGUAUUUAGUGGUGACAUGAUCCCUGCUACAGUGGACUGGGUGGACAUUCCUGGCAGUGAUUACAAAGUGGGAACAACUUGUUCAAACGGCCUUUACUUUCUCCGCUCUACCAACAGAUUCGCUCUGUAUGGGUUUACCACAGACAUUUUUAAUGGAGGCUACCAGUUCCCAGCUGAUCCACCAAUCACACGUGCUACUGCAGAUUGACGGGGUACGGAAUGUCAGGCAUUCAGACUAACGGGGGAGUGCCUCCCAGGGAGACAGACUGAUGUGGUUUUGGACUGACAGAGGUUUAGAUUGAUGGGGUUCAAACUGACGGGAUUCAGAUUCUCCAAGACACAUGAGCUUGAGGAUGUGAAAUGGUUGUAACUUUGAAAACCAGUGAUGUACAUUUUCUGUGAACCUGGCGCUAUAAAACUUUACGUAAACAUAUGAUUGUUGAACCUUUGAUGUUGAUUGUUUGCUCAAAUUGUAUAACAAUGAAGCAUUUCUAUGUG